rnacentral:rRNA from 1 species
GAUGAACGCUGGCGGCGUGCCUAAUACAUGCAAGUCGAGCGAACGGACGAGAAGCUUGCUUUUCUGAUGUUAGCGGCGGACGGGUGAGUAACACGUGGAUAACCUACCUAUAAGACUGGGAUAACUUCGGGAAACCGGAGCUAAUACCGGAUAAUAUUUUGAACCGCAUGGUUCAGAAGUGAAAGACGGUCUUGCUGUCACUUAUAGAUGGAUCCGCGCUGCAUUAGCUAGUUGGUAAGGUAACGGCUUACCAAGGCAACGAUGCAUAGCCGACCUGAGAGGGUGAUCGGCCACACUGGAACUGAGACACGGUCCAGACUCCUACGGGAGGCAGCAGUAGGGAAUCUUCCGCAAUGGGCGAAAGCCUGACGGAGCAACGCCGCGUGAGUGAUGAAGGUCUUCGGAUCGUAAAACUCUGUUAUUAGGGAAGAACAUAUGUGUAAGUAACUGUGCACAUCUUGACGGUACCUAAUCAGAAAGCCACGGCUAACUACGUG